AGGGGUUGACCCAUCGGGGUGCAGAGGGUCGUAAGAGGAGUGCAGAUGUGUCUUGUGGUUCUCUUGAAGCUGUACGUGCUAUGUCUACGUAAGCUGGCAAAAAGGCAGGUAAACGAGAAAAUGUCCAGACCUCGUCUGCAGUUAUGGCCUUGGACUUUUCCACCUUUACAGAUGACUGGAACGCUAGAAAACAGGACGGCCUGCAUGCUGACCAACUUCAUCAGCAGAACAGAAAUGUGGAAAAGCAAACAGAAUGGGGAAUGAAAAAUGAAUCUGAAAUGACAAGAACUGUAGUUUGUAUUCUCCUUGGCUUUACAAAGCUAACUGAUGCAGAAGGUGCUGGGAGUCAGAUCCAUCUAAGUUCUGGGAGGGAAAGCGGAUUUUCAACUCUAAUCUCAGCACUUUCCAGUAAAGAAAUAUAGCUCCUGAGAACAAAGAAGUUUUAUAAAUCAGAGUAAGAUGAAGAAUGCAGUAGUUUGGCAUAUUGAACAGCUCUGGCCUAUCAUGAAUCAAUAUUGGGCAUUCAGCCAGCAAGCCAGCUCGAUUACAACAGCAGUUAAUGUCACUGUCCAGAGCAUCCAUCCUUUUUUAUAAUUAAACUAUUGUGUUGUGUGUAAAUAAAAAGCUUGAACAAAUAAAUCAUUGACAUACA